rnacentral:pre_miRNA from 1 species
GUAGUACUCCCUCCGUCCGGAAAUACUUGUCAUCAAAGUGAAUAAAAGGGGAUGUAUCUAGAUGUAUAUUAGUUCUAGAUACAUCUUUUUUAUCCAUUUUGAUGACAAGUAUUUUCGGACGGAGGGAGUACUUG